UAAACCUAGAUGUUUAUAAUACAAAAACAUCCGCCAGAAAACUACGAGCAAAACGCUUAAAACUCCAAGGACUUGGCGGUACCUCAAACCCCCCUAGAGGAGCCUGUUCUAUAAUCGAUAAUCCACGUUAAACCUUACCAUCCUUUGCCAACCCAGCCUAUAUACCACCGUCAUAGCCUACCUUAUGAAAGACAAAAAGUAAGCUCAACAACCCCAAUAGCUAAAAAGUCAGGUCAAGGUGUAGCCAACUAAGAUGGAAGAAAUGGGCUACAUUUUCUACCAUAGAAAUAACCACAGAACAGAAACAUGAAACAUGAUCUGAAUAAAGAAGGAUUUAGUAGUAAAUUAAGAACAGAGAGCUUAAUUUAAAACGGACCUGAGGUGCGC
rnacentral:rRNA from 1 species